rnacentral:rRNA from 1 species
GACGAACGCUGGCGGCGUGCCUAAUACAUGCAAGUUGAGCGCUGAAGGUUGGUACUUGUACCAACUGGAUGAGCAGCGAACGGGUGAGUAACGCGUGGGGAAUCUGCCUUUGAGCGGGGGACAACAUUUGGAAACGAAUGCUAAUACCGCAUAAAAACUUUAAACACAAGUUUUAAGUUUGAAAGAUGCAAUUGCAUCACUCAAAGAUGAUCCCGCGUUGUAUUAGCUAGUUGGUGAGGUAAAGGCUCACCAAGGCGAUGAUACAUAGCCGACCUGAGAGGGUGAUAGGCCACAUUGGGCAUGAGACACGGCCCAAAAUCCUACGGGGGGCAGCAGUAGGGAAUCUUCGGCGAUGGAAGAAAGUCUGACCGAGCAACGCCGCGUGAGUGAAGAAGGUUUUCGGAUCGUAAAACUCUGUUAGUAGAGAAGAACGUUGGUGAGAGUGGAAAGCUCAUAAAGUGACGGUAACUACCCAGAAAGGGACGGCUAACUACGUG